AUGAACGCUGGCGGCGUGCCUAAUACCUGCAAGUCGAGCGAACGGACGAGAAGCUUGCUUCUCUGAUGUUAGCGGCGGACGGGUGAGUAACACGUGGAUAACCUACCUAUAAGACUGGGAUAACUUCGGGAAACCGUAGCUAAUACCGGAUAAUAUUUUGAACCGCAUGGUUCAAAAGUGAAAGCCGGUCUUGCUGUCACUUAUAGAUGGAUCCGCGCUGCAUUAGCUAGUUGGUAAGGUAACGGCUUACCAAGGCAACGAUGCGUAGCCGACCUGAGAGGAUGAUCAGCCACACUGGAACUGGGACAGGGUCCAGACGCCUACGGGAGGCAGCAGGAGGGAAUCUUCGGAAAUGGGCGAAAGCCUGAGGGAGCAACGCCGAGUGGGUGAAGAAGGUCUUCGGAUCGAAAACCCUUUUUAUUGGGAAAGAAAAGAUGUAUAGUAAACUGUGCAUAUUUGGACGGUACCUAAAAAAAAAGCACCGGCUAACUUCGUG
rnacentral:rRNA from 1 species